UUUGUGAAGCACAGAGAGGCUGGAGCUGGACAACUGGGUGAAAAGGGUAGCUGUCUCCUGAUAGCCUACAUCCAUUGAGGGCCAGUCUUCGGAAACUUUUCUAAAUGUUCCCAGGCGGGAAGAGCCUGAUCUGGAUUAGAAGGAUGACGACUAUUUCCUUAAUUACUGGCCACACCCACAGCACUGGGAAAUUCCAAGCUGGGGUCAAUGGGAGCUGCAGCGGCUGGACUAAACCAUAACCAUAGCAAC